rnacentral:lncRNA from 1 species
AUGUCGUGUUGUAACAGGAGUAUACCGUGAAAAUAUAAAGAAAGGGGACUUUUAUUAAUAUUCAAUUACCUCGAAUAUUGAGAGCAACGACCGAUUCCAGUGCCAGUAUUCAGGGGCCAGUUCAGACACCCCGUCACAGUCGGUCAAGGCACACUUAUUAGUAACAAAAUGCUCCGUUCGAGUCCAAUAGUGGGAGUCAACAGAAUUGAAAGGACUAAAUC